rnacentral:misc_RNA from 1 species
GUCCCAACUAAUUUACUGCCAAAAUGUAACAACCACCUCAUAAUUUCAGAACAGGCUCAUAAUACAUAACGCAUCAAUAUCACAAAAAGUACUUAAGAAUUCACCACCCACUUUAAGGCAUGUUCUGUCUUUACAUUUGAAUAUUAAUUCAAUUCCAAUGACAUACGAUAAACACAAGCAUAAAAUUUCCCACAACCACCAAAGAAAAUAAUACAAUAUACAAAAAUAUGACCCAUUUAACUUAUUGCAAUCCAAUCACCAAUCCUAUCCAUCCAAUAUGAAUAGAUGGUCCCUAAAAUUGAAAGCAAAGAAAUUAUUAUAGGAAGAAAUAGAAAGCAGAUACAGACAAGGGUAUGUGUUACCU